AUUCUUGUCCUUGUAACCGAUAAGACAAACAUAAAUUGAUUAUGAUUCACCCUGAAAUCUUUUUAGAAAAAAAACUUUAACUGGGAUUAUAAAAACAAGCCUGUGAAAAAUGGCACAGAAAGGAAAAACUAGUUUAAGAUACUAUAAAACUGCAGUCGUGUUUGGUUAAGUGGUGAUUAUGAAAUCCUAAAAGAUACAAUAACAUAUAGACUGGAAAAAGGUUGUCCAAAACAUUUUUAGAGACAUAACGUCUUUUGUGAAAAUCCUUCGUAUACCUCACAUUUAUUUCUGUUUCUACGUGGAAAUAUUGAAAUUACACAAGUAUUCUUACAUCAUAGCUCAGAGAAAACAGUAACUUAAAAAUGCCUCCCUUACGGCAACCGAAGUACUGUCAUUUGAUAUCUGUCGUUCGUCAUUGUGGCUUAAAAAUAACAAAGGCAUUGUUUCUGAAAAAAGUACAGGAAAUUACACCCGUGGGCCACGACCCUUUUCCGUGGACUGUUGACGACUUUUUGAUUGAAAAUAGAGGAAAGAUUAAGCAUAGGAGAUUUCUGAAUGAACUUUUUGCCAAACCGACAAACUUAAAUGAAUGGGAUAUAAGCACGUUUUGCUUUCUUCUUAUCAACUGCUGCAACCUUGAGGGAAAAGUCAAGCAAGACAUAUAUGAUUUUCAAACCGUUUGGAACGAUCUGUUUCAAUUUGGAGAAGGCGACAUCAGCGACCAGAUGUAUCAAAAGUACCUAGAACUAAUCAAGGAUAUAGUAGACAGAUGUUCAGAAGAGAUAGGUAAUCCUGCGCUUAAGAAAGAACUAAAAGCUGUUGUAAAAGAAAUGGAGGCUGUAGAAACGACCGACAUUGGAGAAAGACAGAAGUUGAGAGUAUGGUACACUGAUGAAAUAACAAGGCAAGGUAAAACAAAUUAGACAGAAGUAAGGUUUUAUGUAUGGUUUAAAAGUUCUCGUUACGCAUGAUGCUAAUUAUUGAUGUGACGAUAUUAACUUAUUAUGGGUAUUUUAACAGUAGCUUGAUAUGUGAUGUUGUAUUCAUUUUGAAGGCGUCUGGCAAAACCUUCGUGAGCAGAACACAACAUGGGAGACUUCGGUCAGUUAUCUCCCUUUCAUACUAUAUUAAAGCAAGUAGGUACAGUAACUUCUAUUUGGAUUACUCUGUAAUUGUUGCUAUAUUAUUUGUAACAAUAUGAUGUAAAUGAAGCUUAGUUAUUGAUCAUCAUGACUGUUGAUUUAAAAAAUGCCUUCAACUACAUAUUCUAUAAACACUCAAGUUUCUAAUUUUGACAUUCCAGACAUUUAAUUUAACAAAAAUGCAAGAUAUCUUAGAACUGAUAUAUCUCGCAAACCAACGAUAUAGUCACAGAUUUCCAAAUGAUGGUACCUACUUCCAAUUUUAUUAUUUUGGACAUUAUCCAAUAAGGGAGACAAUUUGAAACUCACCAAAGUCCAUCAUUGGAACACUACCAUUUAGUACGAAAUUGAAAUAGCAUGGCGCCAUUCAUAUUCACACACAUUGUGUUACCACGCUUCGUUACCAGCCUAAUAAAAUGUCGCACGAAGAAUUUUCAUUUUUUUUAUGUUUAAGCUUUUUUUUCAACUUUAUUAGUGAGAAAGUAUCAUUUGAAUGCACAAUUAUUUAAGUAAAAUGUUUAAUCUUCCUUUUCUCAA